AAGGAACGCACAUAAUUGACUCCGGCAGCCAGGAUGAGCCUGCUAGUCUGCUGGCAUGAGAAAUCCAGAGUGACAGAGCAGCAGCCAUACUGCAACGUUAAACGGGAAUAUUGCUGCGCCCCAUUGUAGAUGCAUUUCCUUUCUGAGAACCGUGAUCUCUGGACCCACAGAAUUUAAUCUGCAAGGACAAGUUUCCCAAGAAUGGAUCACUGACACCACGUGGGAGACAGCGGGAACUGAGUGCUAUGUUUGGGACCGUUCUCCAGCCUCCCAGAAAUGUAAAGUUGGAUUUUCUAAUAACUUCUAAUCAUGGAAAUCACAUACCCACUAUGUGCUAGACACUAUUGUAGGUACUGGAGAAUGAGAAUAAGCAGCCCUGCCCUCAAGGAGCCUUUUUUCUGGUGUUAGCACAGUGCAUAAGGUGGCGCCUUAAAGACCGACCCAUGACAUGGCGUGGUUGUCCUGAUGACUUGCCUAUUUUACGUCUGACCCAUGCUAGUUUGAAUUCGUAGCUGCUGGGUUGGAGGGGAGACCCUCAAGGCUCCUCUCCGUCCUUUGCUAUUCCGGAGCCCUCUCUACUCAGGACUUGUGAGCACCCGCUCUCAAGAAGAGUAAGCAGUUACGGGCUGAAAUUUAUAGUCUAGUUGUGUUACUAAAGAAAUAAACAGACACAGCGUUAGAUUCUAGGAAUUCAGAGGUAAAACACUGUCCUCUGCCUUUCAGGAAGUUUACACACAAGGUCUUUACAGCAGUAAACUGAAACCAAACAAAAGACUAAGAAAACAAAAAAGCAGCCCACAGCAAGCUGGAUCGUGCAGCAUCAGGCACGCAGCGAACUUGCUGCUGCGACGUAUUUAGACAAAACUUAGGCCAUAUUAUGCGUAAUUUCAAGCAUUAAGUAACUGAAAUAGGCAGAUUUCAAAUGUGUGUAAACAUACAUUACUGUGGGGGAUGACAAUUGCCAAAUAUAAGAAAACCAUCAUCUCUCCCUUGGCAAUGUUUUCUCUAGACAACAUCCUGUGCUCAAAUUUUAGGUUCUAACUGGAACGACGCUGUCCUUUUCUGACCAGCAUCCUCGUACAGCUCUGCAGCAGUUACAGGGGAGGUUCUGCAGAGACACAGCACAAGGCAGAGAGGUUCAAGGGCCUCCUGCCACUUUUCCCUGGUGUGGGGUUUCAUAGCCAUCCUCAGAGGCGGGGGCGGGUGGCAGUCACUGCUCUGCAGGUAACUCUUCCUCAGUUCUUCAGAAACGGAACCUGUUAAGCAUGUGGCAUACCAGGGACAGCUCCCCAUACAGGGCCAAUCGUUCAUUUGUUAGUAAGCAGAAACGACCCUUUCUUUAAGUGUUGCUCACAUCGCCUCCAGGAGAAAUUGUGUGAUUGUGAACAUUCUAGUGGGCUCGUCGCCUUUAUUUGUGGCUCCUGGGUGACUUUGUCAGAUUGUAAUUGCGUUGCGCUUAACUUCCCUAUUGGUGAUCUGUGUGAAAGUGUGUUCUGACCUUGGGUUUUCUCCUCUCAGAUUUUAAAAAUAAAAACAGGCCAUGCUUUGUGCUUUUCAGAGGAGAAACUAUAAAAUACAUUUAUGUUCUCUAUAUUACAGGAUAUUAUUGUUGUAUACGCUGAGCUGCAUUCUCUCAAGGCCUAUGUAAUAGCU
ensembl:lncRNA